rnacentral:rRNA from 1 species
AUUGAACGCUGGCGGCAGGCUUAACACAUGCAAGUCGAGCGGGGGAAGGUAGCUUGCUACCGGACCUAGCGGCGGACGGGUGAGUAAUGCUUAGGAAUCCGCCUAUUAGUGGGGGACAACAUCUCGAAAGGGAUGCUAAUACCGCAUACGUCCUACGGGAGAAAGCAGGGGAUCUUCGGACCUUGCGCUAAUAGAUGAGCCUAAGUCAGAUUAGCUAGUUGGUGGGGUAAAGGCCUACCAAGGCGACGAUCUGUAGCGGGUCUGAGAGGAUGAUCCGCCACACUGGGACUGAGACACGGCCCAGACUCCUACGGGAGGCAGCAGUGGGGAAUAUUGGACAAUGGGGGGAACCCUGAUCCAGUCAUGCCGCGUGUGUGAAGAAGGCCUUAUGGUUGUAAAGCACUUUAAGCGAGGAGGAGGCUACUUUAGUUAAUACCUAGAGAUAGUGGACGUUACUCGCAGAAUAAGCACCGGCUAACUCUGUGCCAGCAGCCGCCGUAA